rnacentral:rRNA from 1 species
UACGUAGGGGGCAAGCGUUGUCCGGAAUCAUUGGGCGUAAAGAGCGUGUAGGCGGCCAGAUAAGUCCGCUGUGAAAUCUCGAGGCUCAACUUCGAGCUGUCGGUGGAAACUGUCUGGCUAGAGUCCGGAAGAGGAGAAUGGAAUUCCAGGUGUAGCGGUGAAAUGCGUAGAUAUCUGGAGGAACACCGGUGGCGAAGGCGGCAUCCUGGACCAACACUGACGCUGAGGAGCGAAAGCCAGGGGAGCAAACGGG